rnacentral:rRNA from 1 species
GAUGAACGCUAGCGGCAGGCCUAAUACAUGCAAGUCGAACGGUGUCUUCGGACAUAGUGGCGCACGGGUGCGUAACACGUAUGCAACCUACCUUACAUUGGGGGAUAGCCUUUCGAAAGGGAGAUUAAUACCGCAUAAGACAGUAGCUGGGCAUCCAGCAGCUGUUAAAGAUUUAUCGAUGUAAGCUGGGCAUGCGUCCAAUUAGCUAGUUGGUGAGGUAACGGCUCACCAAGGCAAUGAUUGGUAGGGGAACUGAGAGGUCAAUCCCCCACACUGGCACUGAGAUACGGGCCAGACUCCUACGGGAGGCAGCAGUAGGGAAUAUUGGGCAAGGGACGCAAGCCUGACCCAGCCAUGCCGCGUGCAGGAUGAAGGCGUUAUGCGUUGUAAACUGCUUUUAUACAGGAAGAAACGACUCUUGCGAGAGGCAUUGACGGUACUGUAUGAAUAGGCACCGGCUAACUCCGUGCCAGCCGCCGCAGUAAGAC